UUUCUGCUCCACAGCCCUAGAGAACUCCACCCCAUAAGACAGGUGGGUGAUAGCCACAUCAUCCAGCACAAUGUUGAAGUCCCUUGCACGCUUGAUAAGUGAUUCCCUGACCAGAGCUGACACAUGGGGACGUUCAGUGAGGAGUUGAUCAGCAUUGAACUGUGCAACAACAGCCUUCAAGACUUCAUUUCCAAUUGAGGGAAGCACCUUCUCAUCAUACUCAAGACCUAGGUGUUGAAAGAUGUAUGGCAAUCGUGAUACGUCGGGACGCGAGAGCACACGGAGAGUGAGAUUGACCAUCUGGAGAU
rnacentral:misc_RNA from 1 species